GAAGUGAGAGAGUUAGUUGGUGAGUUAGGGGCGUUUUUUUUAGUUGGUGAGUUUUCUUUUUGUAAGUCAGAGAGUUAGAGCUCGGAAGAGGACAGUGGCGACAGAGGGAAGGUAGCUGCCGCGGCGGCGUAUGAGGAUAGGGGAGGUGACGCAACCGGCCGGGGAGGAGAGGAGCGGUAGAGAGGAGGUACAACGCGCGGCUCGGGCAGUAGGGAAGGGUACAACAUGAGCCGGCGUAGAAGGACCGAGCUAACCAAGCUAGACGACGGUAGGUGAUGGGCAGUCCAAUAAGGCCGCCACGCCGCCGCCGCUUCGAACCGCGCUGCUACCUCGGACGGACAGACCGCUACCCCACCCUCAGCCUAUCCGCGCGCCGCCACUAACACGUCAGUGCCUCUGUCGAGACGUCAGGGCUACCACAGCGACGACGCCACCAAGGUAAGGCCGCCGUAGCAGCCGGGCAAGUUUUGUCCCGAGCACGUACCCCACCGGGCGGGUAGUUCUGUCUCCGUACCGGCCUGUAGCAAUAGCGAGUUUAUAGUCACGCAAAGAGCGUUACCUAAUGACCCUUCUACUUCGUUACCGGGAGAAGGGAGAGGCAGUUAUGUCAAAAUGUCCGAUUAGUCGACCGUGGAAUCUUUCCAUGUGUCGGUACAUGCAUAGGCACUUAGACUUCGGAAAGUCCACAUGUCCCACAUGUGCAAGACUUAAAGUGUUUCGAUGAUGAUUAACGACAACCAUUUUUGUUUGACCCGAUACGUACAGUGAGUCGCUCAAAGGAGAACAUGUAUCUUUGUAGUGUUGAUGACUGUUUACGUAACAUAACAAUAAGAUUCGCACAAAACCACUUUAUAAAAUUAGAACCGAGUAUCUUUAGGUGAUGACGAAUUCAAUUAGGUGAUGUAGGUAUAGACUAUAACUGGUUGAUGUAGGACUAGAUUAUGUCCGUUUUAGUCCCUGGCUUCCUAGUAGAGAAUGGUUACGUAUUGGACAUCUUGAGAUAAUGAUGUAUUCGACUAGUUGAUGUAGGAACACAUUAUGUUCUAUUAUUUAGUAUUUAGUCACCUGGUAUACAAGGGCUACGCUUACGGAGGAAAACGCAACAGGCAAACUAGUAAUCAUAAAUAAAGGUAGUAAUACGAUCGUUAGUACAAAACCUUAACGGUUGACGUCAUGACGAGGCGGAUGUAGCAUUAUAUGUUACGGAGCGGAUAUUUCAAACUUCUUAGAAUUUUAUAAACAAUAUGAUAUAAUGUGAUGUACUAUCUAGACGACGUCUCUCCAAUAGUGAGAAGAUGCGACUCGUACGGCUGUCCUCGAAGAAGUUGUCAGGCCACUUCGUGUGGUAAAACCUAGUUGAGGAGUGUAUCUGGGCGUAACUCCCUCCUCCUGCCUCUCCGGCUGUUGUUCCUCGCCCACACCCACAAGUAGGAGCGACGACUGGUGUUCACGACGCUCUUUAAAACCCUUCUUAAGAUACGGAGGUGACCGGUGUCAUCCAUGCCCGCCCACACCGAUACUUCUUCAAGGGCCUCCGUCGCCUGACCUUUAGCCCACACUCGCCGGCUUCUCCGACCCUGGCCGCUCACCGUCGUCGACCGACCUCCGCCGCCCUCCUCGGGCCAUCUUCUUUCGUCCAUUCAUCGCCGCCGGAUGUACAGAUACCAAACCAUGUACGGCGGUAGAUUUGUGAAUGUUACUUGUAGUUACAAAGGCUCGAAACGAACAACUCGGACAGCAACGGUACAUUCGGUCGGUGGUUCACAAGUCUUUUAUAGACUUCAAUAUAAGAUGUCAUCUUAGAUUAGUGGAAUAACAGCAACAAAAGACACAGUCAGUAAUAAACCUAUUGUGGGAUAACAUCUUAGAGCCACUACAAUCCUGUAACGUUCGUAAUAAACUUGAACUUCGCGAAGAAGAAUGUUCAUACUAGUAAAAUAUUAGCAAAGAAACCAACACCACCUAAUAAAUCACUUGUAUUAAGGAAAAAAUCCAGUAACGUACUUUUUAUUCUUAUGAAUAUAGUGACUUAAAGACCACCAAAAGAAACCUUCAAUCAAGUCAAUCCGCGAAGAUUGACGAAUUCGAGUUAAAUAGAGGUCAACGGGAAUUAAUGGUCUACAACCCAUAAAAGAAGGUACUUUGACGAGAAGUCAAACUAUAUUAGACGUCCUCGUUAGGUCCUCGUACCACACAGUGGAUACAGGAUUAGUUCACACACUAGAGGAUCACGGAUGACUUAAUAUUGCUCAAAACUUGAAACAACUGAAUAAAAGGAAUAGGACGAACAAUCCAAAAGUACAGUAAGACGUGCGACGAGUAUUACACGUAAAGAACAAUAAACGAUCACCAACAUGACAUGUUUCGAACCAGACAAUAACUUUGUGUAUUCACGCCGUCGUUUAAGUAUCACAUGUAAACAACAAUAAACGAUUACCAACAUGAUUUGUUUCGUACUAGCUUUGUGUAGGAAAUACAAUACAGGUUUUAAUCGAAUAAUCAGGAAAAAUCACCCCGUUUGAAUAUAUACAGUUAAAAAGGAGGUCGACACAUAAUGUAUAACACUAUUAACAUGUUUCCGACGGUAUUUUCUAUGCGUACAGAAGUCUAGUCGUUAUACGGUCCGUUUAUUACCAGCUUUGUGUAUGGAAUUAAAGACGAGACACAAGUCCGGGAUCGUCUCGAACUUGGAAUAAGUCGUUUAUUACCAGUGACUCAGAACCAGCAGUGACCUGGUGUUAAGAACUGUAUGAAGGUACCUGCGACCUUCAUUGUACUCGAUGUCUAUACGUAGAGUUACCCCCCAAUGAAGAAAGGAGUUGUUCAAUGUCAUGUCAUCCUCUCCCGUUACUACGACUGGACACUGAACUGGAAGGUACCUUUUGAGACCGAACUGCACUCCCCCAGCAGCGAAGGUCUCUAGCAGCGGCCAGGCCAUCAGCGAAAUUCUCUAGCAGAGAGCCAGACCAGCAGCGAAGGUCUCUAGCAGCGGGCCGGACCAGCAGUGAAGGUCCCUACCCCUACGGAAGUGGUUUACUCCGUUUUAGACCGAGCGUCUAUACACAGCAGGUAACCCUUCCAAAGCCAACAUAUGUACCUUUCUUAGGUUGAACUAUACACCUUCCAGAUCCGACAUAUGUGCCUUUCUGAUGUUGCACUAGUACUUAACACUAUACUAAAGACGAUAUGUACCUUAUGUACAAUACAUGUUUUCCUUUUUCUCAGGCAACAAUACAUUUCCUUUUCUUACAUUAAAUACCUCAAGGGUUAAUCCUCAUCUUCUAAUACCUUCGAUAAUAAACCUUUCCUAGGGUAACAAAGCUUUAAAAUAACACGUUCCCUCCACACCGUACCUUUCCUACGGUAGCAAA
rnacentral:rRNA from 1 species